rnacentral:rRNA from 1 species
GGUGGAACGGACCAAACCCGUUCGGCCGGUUGGUGGAGGGGGAGUAGCCGGGCUAACGCCCGGGUAAUACCGCAUACGCUCGUUUGGGGGAGUCCCUGAGCGAGGAAACUUGUGGGGCAACCCACGGGGCACAGCGAGGGGCUCGCGGCCUAUCAGCUUGUUGGCGGGGUCAUGGCCCACCAAGGCGACGACGGGUAGCUGGUCUGAGAGGAUGGCCAGCCACAUUGGGACUGAGAGACGGCCCAG